AAAGACAUAUAGGGUAGAUCCUUUUAUAAUCAGGCUUUGAUAUCUUUACUUCUUUUUAGAGAAUGUAUUAAUUUAUCUGUCUUUAUGCACCAUUGUUAAAAUUGCCGGUAUGAAUAAUUACCGAUAUCGUUAUUUUAUGCAAUAACAUGUAUAUCUAUGUCUUGCAGAAUACCCGCAUCAAUCUAAGAAGAACGUUAUAUAUGAGUAGAUGAAUUAGGGGUUUUGUAUGUUCAACUUUCAUGCUUAAUUAUUAAUGUUUUAUAUGUUCAACUAUUAAUUAAUUUGUUUAUUUGUUUAAUCAUACAUUUUUACUAGUGCUGAAGAUACUUACAACAUAUUCCUCCAAUGUGAGGAUCGUGUAUGAUGUUUCACUUGUAAAUGCCACACACUGUGAUCAGUCAAAAUUCCGGUAUAAGAAUUUUUAAUACAACGUCUACAUAGCUUCUUUUUGUUUGUAUUUUUUCAAAUGCAGAUUGAAUCUGUUGUAUUGAAUACCCACUAUUGCACUUUUUUAGUACUUUUAUUAUAAGCAUUGAUCAAUUUCUAUCAACAAUAGGUUAGCAUGCGAAGUAGCAUAGGAUUUUUAGUAUAUAUUAACAAAGUAUGUGGUCAGAAUGUUAAUGACAUGUUUUUAGUUUAAUUAAUCCUUGUUGUCAUUUAUGUCUGCUCUAUACUCAUUCAAAAAACUUGUGUGAACUGAAUAUUUUAGCAAUCUAUAUAUUGUAUUUGAGGGAAUGUACUAGUAGUGAAAGGGUUAAGCUCUGACAAGUCCAGCAGACCGAGGACUAUAAAAAAGAAUGAUGCCAUCAUUGAUGCCAUCCUCCGAGGAAGUGAUCGUUGAUCACGAAACGCGUUAGGAGGCAUCUUCACAUCGGUUCCCGAAUAGCAGCAUACUGGAACGGAUCCAGAGCCACAGUGGAAUGCAUGCGGCUGAUAUCCAGUGUUGUAGCAGCACGAGGAGGUCCAGGCGCACUCCUAUCCGGCCGGCAAGGGAGUGAUACUCACAUCUCUGGACCCCCGGUCUGUAAACCAGAUAUCUAUUGCUUGCACAUUUGGAACUAUUGCUAUAUAUCAG